rnacentral:rRNA from 1 species
AUUGAACGCUGGCGGCAUGCCUUACACAUGCAAGUCGAACGGCAGCGGGCCCUUCGGGGUGCCGGCGAGUGGCGAACGGGUGAGUAAUGCAUCGGAACGUACCCGGGAGAGGGGGAUAACCGGCCGAAAGGCUGGCUAAUACCGCAUGAACUCGGAAGAGCAAAGCGGGGGACCUUCGGGCCUCGCGCUCUCGGAGCGGCCGAUGUCCGAUUAGGCUAGUUGGUGGGGUAAAGGCCCACCAAGGCGACGAUCGGGAGCGGGUCUGAGAGGACGAUCCGCCACACUGGGACUGAGACACGGCCCAGACUCCUACGGGAGGCAGCAGUGGGGAAUCUUGGACAAUGGGCGCAAGCCUGAUCCAGCAAUGCCGCGUGGGUGAAGAAGGCCUUCGGGUUGUAAAGCCCUUUCGGCGGGGAAGAAAUCGGUCAGGCGAAUAGUCUGGCCGGAUGACGGUACCCGCAGAAGAAGCACCGGCUAACUACGUG